rnacentral:tRNA from 1 species
GCAGUGGUAAAGUUAAUUGGUAAACUUUGCGGGUCGCUCCCGAGAUAUAGGUUCGAAUCCUAUCUGCUGCA